AGUGAACGCUGGCGGUAGGCCUAACACAUGCAAGUCGAACGGCAGCACAGGAGAGCUUGCUCUCUGGGUGGCGAGUGGCGGACGGGUGAGGAAUACAUCGGAAUCUACUCUGUCGUGGGGGAUAACGUAGGGAAACUUACGCUAAUACCGCAUACGACCUACGGGUGAAAGCAGGGGACCUUCGGGCCUUGCGCGAUUGAAUGAGCCGAUGUCGGAUUAGCUAGUUGGCGGGGUAAAGGCCCACCAAGGCGACGAUCCGUAGCUGGUCUGAGAAGAUGAGCAGCCACACUGGAACUGAGCAACGGUCCAGACUCCUACGGGAGGCAGCAGUGGGGAAUAUUGGACAAUGGGCGCAAGCCUGAUCCAGCCAUACCGCGUGGGUGAAGUAGGCCUUCGGGUUGUAAAGCCCUUUUGUUGGGAAAGAAAUCCAGCUGGCUAAUACCCGGUUGGGAUGACGGUACCCAAAGAAUAAGCACCGGCUAACUUCGUGCCAGCCGCCGCGGUAA
rnacentral:rRNA from 1 species